GCCGAUGUAGAAGCUGCGGGAGAGGAGGGCUCUGACCUUGACGGAUGCCAUGCAAUGGAAGGUAGCUCUCUCUCUGUCCCCUCUUCUUCCUCUUUGUGCAAGUGAGCGACCCUGAUGAUCGAUCUACCCAGUUGGAUUACAUCUGCAACCUAUCAUUUACUACUUCUAAAGAAUAGCAUGAAUGCAUGAUUCAUCUCACUCUUAUGAUAUAUCUCAUUUUGUUUGAUAUUUGGUUUUUCAUGUGGUGUUUAUGAAACAUUUAUGCUAAUAAUGCAAAUGCUAACUAGUUGCCAUCCGGUUGAUUGCUUAUUUUAUUCAGGUCGGCAAGGAAGCCAGUGGGACGGAGGCGACGAACUCUGCUGCAGCCACGGCCGGCUGUGCUUCUGCCUUCGUGGUGGCCUAGGACUUGUGAUUGUGGUGUUGUGCUUUGACCAGUGGCAUGAUUUACACACUAUGGCAAUGUUAGGUUUAGGGAAAUAUGUAUUGUUGCACCUGAUUGAACCAGUUGACCAGUACAUUGCAGCUAGAACAAGAAAUAACUAUUUCUUUGCUGCCUCCCAGCCUUUCUGUUGAUAUUUUUAACACGAUUUUCUGAUAAUUGGAAACCAGCAACAAUUGCACUAAAAAUAUUAUAGUGAAACCAUAUUAUAUCUGAAAUAGUAAACAGAUUGACACAUCCGGAAGCUUAAAGCUAGUCAUGCUUUUUCAUUCAACUUUUUCCAUUGCAACUUGCAAGAUAGUAAAAUUUAUCCUAAUGUGUCUUGAUAUUGUUCAGCAAUUUACAAUAGCUUGUAUUUAUUUAGUUAUUGUCAGAAUAUAGUAUUAGUUUAUUAAAUUCGAAAAAUAGUAAGUAAUGCUCAGCUUCUUGCUUCUCAACCUUAAUUUGUGUAAUUUGUUCUGGCCAAUAACUAGAGACAUGACUUGUCUAAGGAUUAGUUUAUUAACUAAAGACAUCAGGUCGGUGGAUAACUAGAUACUUGAUAGUAUUAGAUCUUAAGGUUGUAUCUAGUUAUCUAGUUAUUUCUUACUCCUUUUUAACUAGUUUAGUAAAAAGCUGACUUUUCAAUUGACUUUCAAUUUGUGUAUCUAGAUUAAUAUGUCGUCAAGUGGGAGGUCUUCUUUCGAGCUGAUAGUACUGCAGUCCUUGCAGUGCGUGGAUUGAUGACACGACAACACCACAAGAACAAUUUUUUGAGUUCUCUUUUUAUCUUCUAAGUGUUUGUUUGAUUAGACAGUGUCACUUUUUGUUCUUCGUCUGUUUCUAGUGGCUUAGCAAUCAUUCAGUGGCCGUCCCUUGUUUCAUGUAAUUUAGUAGAUUUAUUUCCACCAUGCACAUUUCUUUUACUGCAGAACUGAACAGUGUAUGGUCUGAGAGUUUCAGUUCUUGUUUGCCAUGCAUGUAGCUGUGGUCCUAUCAUGGUUUCAGUGGACAAUUGCAUGGAAUGGUUCCUCUAGUUAGAGCAAUCCUUUCUUUUGCGUGAUAGUGCCUUUUUAAUAAACUAGUUAAAAAGGAGUAAGAAAUAACUAGAUAACUAGAUACAACCUUAAGAUCUGAUUUAUGUAAUACUAUCUAAUACACAAAUAUCUAGAUAGUGCCUUUUCAAUCUGAUUUAUGUAAUACUAUCUAGUACACAAAUAUCUAAUACACAAAUACCAAAAAGUCAAUUUGUGUAUUAGAUAGUGCCUUUUCAAUUUGUGUAAUUUGUUCUGGCCAAUAACUAGAGACAUGACUUCUCAACCUUAAU
rnacentral:lncRNA from 1 species